rnacentral:rRNA from 1 species
GAUGAACGCUAGCGGCAGGCCUAAUACAUGCAAGUCGAGGGGUAGAGAGAGCUUGCUCUCUUGAGACCGGCGCACGGGUGCGUAACGCGUAUGCAACCUACCUUUAUCUGGGGGAUAGCCCGAAGAAAUUCGGAUUAACCCCGCAUAAAAUCACAGAACGGCAUCGUUCAAUGAUCAAAUAUUCAUAGGAUAGAGAUGGGCAUGCGUGCCAUUAGUUAGUUGGCGGGGUAACGGCCCACCAAGACCGCGAUGGCUAGGGGAUCUGAGAGGAUGGCCCCCCACACUGGUACUGAGACACGGACCAGACUCCUACGGGAGGCAGCAGUAAGGAAUAUUGGUCAAUGGAGGCAACUCUGAACCAGCCAUGCCGCGUGCAGGAAGACAGCCCUCUGGGUCGUAAACUGCUUUUAUUCGGGAAUAAACCUGCUUACGUGUAAGUAGCUGAAUGUACCGAAGGAAUAAGGAUCGGCUAACUCCGUGCCAGCAGCAGCCGCAGUAA